CAUGCAUGUCUAAGUAUAAACGAUUUAAUCGUGAAACCGCGAAUGGCUCAUUAUAACAGCUAUAAUUUACUUGAUCUUGACACAAUCCUACUUGGAUAACUGUGGUAAUUCUAGAGCUAAUACAUGCAUUAAAGCUCUGACCUCACGGGAAGAGUGCAUUUAUUAGAACAAAACCAAGCGGCUUCGGCUGUUUCUGGUUGACUCAUAGUAACUGAGCUGAUCGCAUGGUCUUGCACCGGCGACGUGUCUUUCAAGUAUCUGCCGUAUCAACUUUCGAUGGUAGUGUAUCUGACUACCAUGGUGAUCACGCGUAACGGAGAAUAAGGGUUCGGCUCCGGAGAGUUCGCCUGAGAAAUCGCGAACACAUCUAAGGAAGGCAGCAGGCGCGAAAAUUACCCACUCUCAGCACGAGGAGGUAGUGACGAAAAAUAACGAGACCGUUCUCUUAUGAGGCCGGUCAUCGGAAUGGGUACAAUU
rnacentral:rRNA from 1 species